rnacentral:rRNA from 1 species
UACGAAGGGGGCUAGCGUUGCUCGGAAUCACUGGGCGUAAAGCGCACGUAGGCGGCUUUCUAAGUCAGGGGUGAAAUCCUGGAGCUCAACUCCAGAACUGCCCUUGAUACUGGAGAGCUUGAGUCCGGAAGAGGUGAGUGGAACUCCGAGUGUAGAGGUGAAAUUCGUAGAUAUUCGGAAGAACACCAGUGGCGAAGGCGGCUCACUGGUCCGGUACUGACGCUGAGGUGCGAAAGCGUGGGGAGCAAACAGG